GAUUGGUGCUGCUGGACCACACUGGAGGUGCGAGUCCGCCGUGUAAUGGUUUAUGCCAUUACAAAGGAGCUGGCCUCUGUACUCAACUGGGCAGGGGAAAAAAAACCAAGGACCAGACAAAGCAAAAAAGGGCAUUUAAAGAGACAGCGCUGUGCAGAUGCAUAUUUGAUGGCCUGGCGCAGCAGGUAGGGGCGAACUCUAUGUCUGAGUUGGUCUUUGCUCAAGCAGUCCAGAAAUGGCUCAGAUAUGCUCCAGAUCGUGCGGGUGGCGCGCGAGGACGCACAUCAUCCAUCCCCAUCCCGGAGUAAAUGAUAAAA
ensembl:lncRNA